rnacentral:rRNA from 1 species
AGAGCGAACGCUGGCGGCAGGCCUAACACAUGCAAGUCGAACGGACUCUUCGGAGUUAGUGGCGGACGGGUGAGUAACACGUGGGAACGUGCCUUUAGGUUCGGAAUAGCUCCUGGAAACGGGUGGUAAUGCCGAAUGUGCCCUUCGGGGGAAAGAUUUAUCGCCUUUAGAGCGGCCCGCGUCUGAUUAGCUAGUUGGUGAGGUAAAGGCUCACCAAGGCUACGAUCAGUAGCUGGUCUGAGAGGAUGACCAGCCACAUUGGGACUGAGACACGGCCCAAACUCCUACGGGAGGCAGCAGUGGGAAUCUUGCGCAAUGGGCAAAGCCUGACGCAGCCAUGCCGCGUGAAUGAUGAAAGGUCUUAGGAUUGUAAAAUUCUUUCAGUAGGGACGAUAAUGACGGUACUACAGAAGAAGCCCCGGACUAACUUCGUGCCAGCAGCCGC